rnacentral:rRNA from 1 species
CCAUGUGUAGCGGUGAAAUGCGUAGAUAUAUGGAGGAACACCGGUGGCGAAAGCGGCUCUCUGGUCUGUAACUGACGCUGAGGCUCGAAAGCGUGGGGAGCGAACAGGAUUAGAUACCCUGGUAGUCCACGCCGUAAACGAUGAGUGCUAGGUGUUAGGUCCUUUCCGGGACUUAGUGCCGCAGCUAACGCAUUAAGCACUCCGCCUGGGGAGUACGACCGCAAGGUUGAAACUCAAAGGAAUUGACGGGGGCCCGCACAAGCGGUGGAGCAUGUGGUUUAAUUCGAAGCAACGCGAAGAACCUUACCAGGUCUUGACAUCCUGAUGCCCGCUCUAGAGAUAGAGCUUUACUUCGGUACAUCGGUGACAGGUGGUGCAUGGUUGUCGUCAGCUCGUGUCGUGAGAUGUUGGGUUGUGUCCCGCAACGAGCGCAACCCUUAUUGUUAGUUGCCAUCAUUCAGUUGGGCACUCUAGCGAGACUGCCGGUAAUAAACCGGAGGAAGGUGGGGAUGACGUCAAAUCAUCAUGCCCCUUAUGACCUGGGCUACACACGUGCUACAAUGGCUGGUACAACGAGUCGCAAGCCGGUGACGGCAAGCUAAUCUCUGAAAGCCAGUCUCAGUUCGGAUUGUAGGCUGCAACUCGCCUACAUGAAGUCGGAAUCGCUAGUAAUCGCGGAUCAGCACGCCGCGGUGAAUACGUUCCCGGGCCUUGUACACACCGCCCGUCACACCACGAGAGUUUGUAACACCNGAAGUCGGUGAGGUAACCGUAAGGAGCCAGCCNC